UGCAGUGGAGCGACGAACCAGGCUUCGGCCUGGGGCAAAGCCGCGAACGGGUGAGUAACACGUGGGUAACCUGCCCCGAUGACCGGGACAACUCGAGGAAACUCGAGCUAAUACCGGAUGUGCUGCCCUCGCAUCAGCGAGGGUUGGAAAGGAAGCUUCGGCCUCCGCAUCGGGAUGGGCCCGCGGCCCAUUAGCUUGUUGGUGAGGUAACGGCUCACCAAGGCCGCGAUGGGUAGCUGGUCUGAGAGGACGAUCAGCCACACUGGGACUGAGACACGGCCCAGACUCCUACGGGAGGCAGCAGUGGGGAAUCUUGCGCAAUGCGCGAAAGCGUGACGCAGCAACGCCGCGUGGGGGAAGAAGGCCUUCGGGUCGUAAACCCCUUUCAGGAGGGACGAAGCCCGGGCGGUUAAUAGCCGACCCGCGUGACGGUACCUCCACAAGAAGCCCCGGCUAACUACGUGCCAGCAGCCGCGGUAAUACGUAGGGGGCAAGCGUUGUCCGGAAUUAUUGGGCGUAAAGAGCGUGUAGGCGGUCCGGUAAGUCGGCUGUGAAAGUCCAGGGCUCAACCCUGGGAUGCCGGUCGAUACUGCCGGACUAGAG
rnacentral:rRNA from 1 species